CCCAUAGGUUUAUUUUUAGUUCCGCUCCCAAAAAGUCCUGAACAGCGAUUGGAAUUCCAUUUUCCCGAUUCUAAAAUCCCAAACUCAAAUGAAAUGGAUCCAUCGUUGUUAGAGAACAGUAUCUCUUGGGAUUUACUCGAUUAUACCUUCAUCGGCGGCAACCCUUCCCCCGAAUUCUGUUUGCCCGAUCAUAGUGCUAGCGUGGAAUUUGAUUUUUCGUCUGGGCGAGAGGAAGAUUGCGCCCAAAGAGAGUGCUCGCGGAAGAGGGGGAGAAAUGAUUCAUGCAGCAGGCCUGUCUCUAAAGCUUGCCGUGAGCGAUUGCGGAGGGAGAGAUUGAAUGACAGGUUUCUAGAGUUGAGUUCUGUUUUGGAUCCUGGGAGAACUGUCAAAACUGACAAGCAUGCCAUACUUGAUGAUGCAAUCAGAAUUUUGAACCAACUGAGAUCUGAAUCUCAAGAACUUAAAGAGACAAAUAAGAAACUACUGGGAGAAAUACAAAGUCUAAAGGCGGAGAAGAAUGAACUUCGUGAAGAGAAGCUCGUGCUGAAGGCAGAUAAGGAAAGGUUGGAACAGCAAUUGAAAGCUAUGGCUAUUCCACCUGCUGGGUUUAUACCAGGCCAUCCAGCUGCAUAUAAUGCUGGGCCAAACAAGAUGGCAGUUUUUUCCAGCUAUGGGUUUGUUCCAAUGUGGCAAUACUUGCCUCCAGCUGCCCAUGAUACAUCUCAUGAUCAUGAGCUCAGGCCCCCUGCUGCAUAGUUUUUUGAUAUUGGAUUGGCAAAAUGUGUAGUCUGGUGGACUUUGUCUUCUAAGUUCAAUCAUCUGAGUAAACUGAUCUCAAGCGCACAUCAAAUAUAUGUCUCUCCUAGAAACUUUUGCGCGAGGUAUUUUUGCAAGCCUUUCUUCCUUCUUGCCAGAGGUGGAGAUUUUGAAAAGACUCUGAAUUGCUGAAGACAUGCAAGGUUAUCUGCUAAGAAGGCCGGGAACGAUUUAAGGUUCGCACUGUGAUCCUUCCUUAAGAGCGGAAGGGAGAAUCAAUUUCUUGUUUUCCUUUUGCUCUUUGGAAGUCAAAUAAGUUUGCUCUUGGGAGUCGCUGUGAACAGCUUGUUGGUCACCAUCUUUCCCCCACAGCAACAUGUAUAGGCCAAGGAUGACGAUGAUUGCCCCUAGUAUGCUGAACAAUGCACAUAUGAAGUUUAGAAUAAACAAAUUCUUCUUGUUUCUCUCUUCGUAAAAACUGAAAAUUGAAGCUAUAUAUUGUGAAGCAUGGAGAUCAUAUGAAUGCAUAAACUGUAAGUACUGCAUAUAGAUAGAAGUAGAACGACGCUGUAUUUACCUGCCCAUGUAAAGUUUUUCUCCAAAGACAAAGUAUCCCAGAAUCGCUACUAAUAUAGUUGAAAGGGGAUUAAACACGGUCACAAAAACUGGACCUCUUUCUUCCGUGCACCACAGUUGGAUGAAGACGAUCAAACCAGAGACCACUAUUCCCUGUAAUGUGAUCUCCAAGAUCAAGAUUUUAUCGAAAUCUUAUAUCUGUAUUUCUACAUUAAGAGACUAUUUGUACUUACACCAUAUAUGGUGGACCAGAAAUCAAUGUUGAAUCCUAUGGUCCAAGCUGCUCGUUUAUGUUCUAUGAUCACUGUGAAUACAGCUGAUUGUGCUCCUCCGAUAACGCUCAUCCAUGCGGUCAGUGACAGUUGGGCCGGAUAUCUUUUUAAUGUAAAUGCCUAAGAUUUCCAGAGGAUUAUCCACCAACGUUGCAUGUCA